AUGACGAACACAUUCACGAUGUGUCCCGGCACCGGAACGAGCCAUAUCCUUCUUCCUAGGGCGGCGCCGGGCUACGCAGGCUCCAAGCGGACGCUGGCUGUGUACGACCCUGCAGCGGCACAGCAACGGGCCGAUGCGGUCAGACUCUCUGCGGACGCCGGUGCACUGGUGCCAUCACCCGUGGGCGUGGCCGACGAACCCAUCAAGGCAGUGCCGCAGGCUGCCGCCGCUCCCAAGCAGAGAGCUGAGCCGCCGGGGAUACGCGCACCCAAGGGCCUGCUCGCGCACCUGAGCCUCCGCGUCGACCUGCCCGUGCACUUCAUCGACGAGAAAACCGUGACCGCCACCGACGUGGAUCCGCAGCAGAACCGGUUCCGCCUCCCAAUCGACGGCGUGAUACGCAACCUGCGCCCGGUCCUCUCCCACCUAGAUCGCCAGGCCGCCAACCUGGUGCACGUGGAAGCCCCGAGACCAAGGCUGCCGAAGCUACCCAAGGUUCCUGGGGAGAAGACGAAGAAGAGAAGGGGAAGGGAGCACGGCGGCCUUCCCGUGCUCGUGAUCGAGCGCGACGCCGGCAUCAGGGAGCUGCAGCUGACGCGGUGGGAGAGCAGCGGCGUCUGCGUCAUCAAGGGAGAGGGGUACAUGGACUUCAUCAACAACUGCGGCUUCAGUGUGGGUGACGUGGUGGAGAUCUGGGCUUUCAAGCAGAAAGCCUUGCGUUUGUUCGGCGUGGAUAUCUACGAGGAGGGGUACCAGGAGAGCUCUCUCUACGUUCUCUUCAUCAAGAAAGGCCGGAUGCUACCACCACCCCAUGCUCUAGUAGUUUCCGAUGGAGGAGAGGAAACAGCACAAGAACACGAACCCUAG
rnacentral:rRNA from 1 species